rnacentral:rRNA from 1 species
GACGAACGCUGGCGGCGUGCUUAACACAUGCAAGUCGAGCGGUAAGGCCCUUUCGGGGGUACACGAGCGGCGAACGGGUGAGUAACACGUGGGUGACCUGCCCUCAGCUCUGGGAUAAGCCUGGGAAACUGGGUCUAACACCGGAUAUGACUCCAUGACGCAUGUUGUGGGGUGGAAAGCCUUGUGCGGCUGAGGAUGGGCCCGCGGCCUAUCAGCUUGUUGGUGGGGUGAUGGCCUACCAAGGCGACGACGGGUAGCCGGCCUGAGAGGGCGACCGGCCACACUGGGACUGAGACACGGCCCAGACUCCUACGGGAGGCAGCAGUGGGGAAUCUUGCGCAAUGGGCGAAAGCCUGACGCAGCGACGCCGCGUGAGGGAUGACGGCCUCGG